AUUUAAGCAUAUAAAUAAGCGGAGGAAAAGAAACUAACUAGGAUUGGUCUAGUAAUGGCGAGUGAAGCACCAAUAGCCCAGGUUGUGAAUUGGCACUUGUGUUGAAUUGUGGGAUGCUGGCCAGUCUGUCCAACUUGUGGACCAAGUCCCCUGGAAUGGGGCAGCACAGAGGGUGAGACUCCCGUACGUCUGCAGGUGUGAAAACUGGCUGAAGAGUCGAGUUGUUUGGGAUUGCAGCUCUAAGUGGGUGGUAAAUUCCAUCUAAGGCUAAAUACUGGUGAGAGACCGAUAGCAUACAAGUACCGUGAGGGAAAGAUGCAAAGUCGCGCGAGAGCGCUGUCAAAGAGUACCUGAAAUUGCUGAAAAGGAAGCAAAGGAAAUCAGUGCUAGCCAUCCUGCACUUCCCCAACUGCUUGCAGCUGGGGCGCUGCGGUUGGCAUUGUCUGCAUGCCUGGGUUGGAGCGAAAGUUAAUGACGCUACGAGCUGGGUGUGUGGACGAAAUGGUUUUCUUUUUCCCGUCUUGAAACAC
rnacentral:rRNA from 1 species